GUGGGGAAUAUUGGACAAUGGGCGAAAGCCUGAUCCAGCCAUGCCGCGUGUGUGAAGAAGGUCUUCGGAUUGUAAAGCACUUUAAGUUGGGAGGAAGGGCAGUAAGUUAAUACCUUGCUGUUUUGACGUUACCGACAGAAUAAGCACCGACUAACUUCGUGCCAGCAGCCGCGGUAAUACGAAGGGUGCAAGCGUUAAUCGGAAUUACUGGGCGUAAAGCGCGCGUAGGUGGUUUUGUAAGUUGGAGGUGAAAUCCCCGGGCUCAACCUGGGAACUGCCUCCAAAACUGCAUGACUAGAGUACGGUAGAGGGUAGUGGAAUUUCCUGUGUAGCGGUGAAAUGCGUAGAUAUAGGAAGGAACACCAGUGGCGAAGGCGACUACCUGGACUGAUACUGACACUGAGGUGCGAAAGCGUGGGGAGCAAACAGGAUUAGAUACCCUAGUAGUCC
rnacentral:rRNA from 1 species